rnacentral:ncRNA from 1 species
CCCACAGUGCUGCGUAUAGUUUGUAAAUGCAAUCCUGUGAAUGGAUGUGCCGCAAAUCCUUCACAUCAUUUGGGUCUCUUCCCUUGGGAAUUAAUACUGGUGGUCUCUCUCUCCACCCGCCCGGCACCCUUCGAUGCUGGCAUCACGCGUUGUAUAUAACAGUCAUGGGUAGAACCAGCUCUCCUAGCACCUCUAGUAGCUAAAUGCCUCGUCAUCUAAUUAGUGACGCGCAUGAAUGGAUGAACGAGUUUCUCACUGUCCCCUUCUACUCUCUCGCAACCUACAGUCACGGGGAACGGGCUCAGUGGAAUCAGCUUGGAAAGAAGGUCCUGUUCGGGUUGGCUCUAGUCCGACUUUUUAAAACGGCUUGGGGGGUGUAGCAUAGGCGGUAG